GUGGGAAUUUUCAAAAAGUUUUCUUAAAUAACUUCACCAUAUUCAUAAUUCUAAAAGAAAACAAGAUAAUCCUUCAUCACAUUUGUCCAAGCUCUAGUCAGUAUUCUAAUAUUAUAUAUUUGCCAGAUUAUAUGUGCAACUUGCAACUUCAUUUAUGUGGUUAUUGCUAUGUAGGUAUUUGAGACGAGGAUUAAAUGACAAGGGUAGAGUAGCAAAUGAUGUGGAGACAGAGCAAAUUGUAUUUGAGGAUGUUCAUGAAGGUUUUCCUUCAACGUCUUUCACUAUUUUGUUGAAUCAUUGGGUGUAUUUGUGAAAUUUCUAGAGGAAAGUAUUAAGACAAUGUACAAUGAUAUAAAGUUUUUUGUGAAUAGCAUUAAGGAAUGUUAUUAAUCUGUUAAUACAUGUGCUGAGAUAAAGGCAUUAAUAUUCGACAUUAAGUUCAUCCACUAACAUCUUUUGUUCAUAUUAUUGAUGUUUCGCAUAUGACAAUAUUGAUAAGGGAAGCUUUCAACCCACGACACAUGUUGAUGUUGACAAUGAAGAUGGUAAUAAUUUAGAGAGAAACCUAGUGGAGAAGACAACCAUGCUAAAGGAAAUCAACAUUAUGAUAUAGGGAGACAUGGGGAUGAUGAUGCAAGGGAAAAUAGUAUCCUGUUCUUCAGAAAUUUAUAGGUUCUUCACUUGACUGGAACAUUCUUUGAUUCACCACUUUAGCGUGGUUUAUGAUGAGUGUUGCCAACAUCACCUGCCACAUUUCUUGGAGUGCAGCUCAUGCGGUUUAUAUAUUUCUUGAAAAAGUCGGGUUGCUGCCUUUGCAAUGGGCAUACAGGAUGUUGAAGAAGGAGCAAACAUCAAUACAUUUGUUGAUUCUACAGAUUAUAAUGAUUCAGAUGAAAGCACACACCCUGAAAGCAUUCGAAGGACUUCUUCAGUAUCUAAUGGAACUGCUGGCAGAGAUACUGUCGCAGGUUUGUUGGCCUCAUUGAUGGAAGUGGUACGGACGACUGUUGCCUGUGAAUGUGUUUAUGUACGAGCCAUGGUGCUCAAGGCAUUAAUCUGGAUGCAAGGUCCGUUUGACUCAUUCGAUGAACUAGAGUCUAUUAUUGCAUCAGAACUUUCUGAUCCAGCUUGGUCAGCAGCACUUUUGAAUGAUGUACUACUCACCUUGCAUGCUCGGUUAAAGGCUUCCCCAGAUAUGGCUGUUACUCUUCUUGAAAUUGCGAGGAUAUUUGCUACGAAAGUUGACGCUGAUGUGUUACAGCUGCUUUGGAAGGUCAAUUUUUUUUCUUUCUUUUAGAUAAAGUUCAUGAGAUAUCACUAAAAAUUAGAUAAAAAAACAAAGAACUCACGAGGGACCAAACCAAAACCCAUGGUCAAAGAGUUUUUUUAUUUCGCUCUUUGAAAUUCUUCUAGAAACUCUCAAUGUAGCAGACAACCUAAUAAAUGCUCAAGCAAUAAAGCAUUUCAUUUGAGGAAAUGAGAUAUUUCUAACAUCAAAGAGGUUCAACAUAAAGGUGGGUGGGAAGAGAGUUGUUCGUGAACUUUAUGGACUUGAGGAAAAUGAUAUGCACUUGAUGCAGGUGAGGAUAUACUCAGCAGAUGGAGUUACAGCUGAAUUCAACACGCUCUAUCUUGUUCAAAUAUAUCUACUAAAUGCCACUGAAAAUAUAUAACGAUGUGCUAACUAUAUAUGUUAGAGAUCAUAGAACAGAUGAAGAUGUCUUUAAGGUAAUAGUAAUAGAACAGAUGAAUAUGAAAAUUUUCUUGUAGCUUUUUCUUCGUUAUAUUAAGUUGUAGUUUUGUUUGGACUAGUUUGUCUACACUUCCUUGAUUAUUCCAUCAUGAAAAAAUGACUUGUGGCACAAUAUAUGCUCAUGUAUAAACUUAUG